AUAGAAGCGCAGUAUUGUACUAUCGGCGUCAUAAAGCAGACUGUAUAUUGCUUCACCUACACGCUGCAGUCUCCUUUUAUGAGCUAUCGUCAUGAAAAAAAUCACUACGAUAUUGGUGGUGUCUGUUUUAGCAGUACUCAGUUCUUCAUCUGAGAAUUCAUUUGUCACUCAGCAAUGGAAUGGGAAUCCGGCAAUGAGAAACAGAGCGUUUUAUUACUUCCACCCAACUCAUCUACCGGGGACGCAGUUUUAUCCAAAAAUCCCACUGGUCAACUACUAUCCGUACUUUCCCAUUGCUGAGCCAAAUAAAUUGAUGCUGAAUGAAGACAACCAAAGGAGUGAUAUCGCCAACUCUAGACCUACCACUCCACCGCCCCCUCUGUUAAUUGAUCAAAAUCUUAGCGACGAAGAAGCAAUGACGCAGCUGGAGAUUUUGAAGGAAAUCUACACACGAAACAACGAGAACGGAGUCGUCUUACCCAGUAUUCUUCCGUCGUCUCGAGGAUUCAUUGCGCUAAAAACAACCGCUUUUAUCAGUUUCUUAAACAGUUUUUCCUUAGCUGCAGCAACCAAGACCAAAACCAAAAUUUUUGUUUAUCCAACUUUUGGUUGAACCAUAUUUGUUUCUUCUUUUUUUAACAUAAGUCUGAUGCUUUAACGUGGUUAAUAUGGUGUAUGGGUGUCUUUCGUGCAAAAGCUUAUAUCGUAUCAUGCUCGAUGAAUGAUGAUGAAUAUAUUGGGUCCGAUUGAA